rnacentral:misc_RNA from 1 species
GAUGAAGAACGUAGCAAAAUGCGAUACUUGGUGUAAAUUGCAGAAUCCCGUGAACCAUCAAGUUUUUGAACACAAGUUGCACCCGAAGCCUUUUGGCCAAGGGCACGUCUGCCUGGGUGUCACGCAUCGCGUAGCCCCCUGCAAUUCUCCUUAAAGGGAACUUGUGUUUCGGGGGCAGAUAUUGGUCUCCCGUGCUCAUGGCGUGGUUGGCCGAAAUAGGAGUCCCAUCAAUGGACACACGAACUAGUGGUGGUCGUAAAAACCCUCGUCUUUUGCUUCGUGCUGUUAGUCGCAAGGGAAACUCAUAGAAAACCCCAACGUGUCGUCUCUUGACGACGCUUCGACCGCGACCCCAGGUCAGGUGGGACUACCCGCUGAGUUUAAGCAUAUCAAUAAGCGGAGGA